GCCAGGCAUGGUGGUGCAUGCCUGUAAUCCCAGCUACUCUGGAGGCUGCAGCAGGAGGAUCACUUGAGCCCAGGAAUUUGAGGCUGCAGUGAGUUACGACUGCGCCACUGCAUUCCAGCCUGGGUGACAGAGUGAGAUCUUGUCUCUG
rnacentral:SRP_RNA from 1 species